rnacentral:rRNA from 1 species
AGUUAGAGGAGGUAGUAAAGAUAAAUAUCGAUACAGAACUCAAUUGAGGUACUGUAAUCGAAAUGAGUGCAUUAUAAAUCCUACAACGAGGAUCUAUUGGAGGGCAAGUCUGGUGCCAGCAGCCGCGGUAACUCCAGCUCCAAUAGCAUAUAUUAAAGUUGCUGCAGUUAAAAAGCUCGUAGUUGGAUCUGGGUUCAGGUCGGGGAUGCCUCGGGUUUAUGUUAUGAAAUUCAUUCAUGGAUCCUUGGUUUAUCCCGGCCGAAUCUUUCAGCUGUGUCUAUGUGGUGCCUCGGUACUGCAUAGAUAGAUGUGUUGACUAAGAUUGCUUCACAGCUUUCUGGCUUCAUGUCUAUGCAUCUUAUUGCCCUUCACCGGGUGAUGGGUGUGGACAGCACGUUUACUUUGAACAAAUUUGAGUGCUCAAAGCAGGCCUUGU